UACGAAGGGGGCGAGCGUUGUUCGGAAUUACUGGGCGUAAAGGGCGCGCAGGCGGCCUUAGAAGUCAGAUGUGAAAGCCCCGGGUUCAACCUGGGAAUGGCAUUUGAUACUCUGAGGCUGGAGUACGGGAGAGGAGAGUGGAAUUCCCAGUGUAGAGGUGAAAUUCGUAGAUAGUUGGGAAGAACACCUGUGGCGAAAGCGGCUCACUGGACCAUAACUGACGCUGAUGCACGAAAGCUAGGGGAGCAAACAGG
rnacentral:rRNA from 1 species